CGGGGGGGGGCAAGCGUUGUUCGGGAAUUACUGGGGCGUAAAGGGCGCGCAGGCUGUCGAGCAAGUCCUUCGUGAAAUCCCAUGGGCUCAACUGUGGAACUGCGGAGGAUACUGCUUGACUUGAGUCCGGGAGAGGAGAGUGGGAUUCCCAGUGUAGCGGUGAAAUGCGUAGAUAUUGGGAGGAACACCGGUGGCGAAGGCGGCUCUCUGGACCGGUACUGACGCUGAGGCGCGAAAGCUAGGGGAGCAAACGGGAUUAGAUACCCCGGUAGUCCUAGCCGUAAACGAUGAGCACUUGGUGUGGCGGGUAUCGACCCCUGCCGUGCCGAAGCUAACGCAUUAAGUGCUCCGCCUGGGGAGUACGGUCGCAAAGGCUG
rnacentral:rRNA from 1 species